AGUUGGCUGGUUCAAGCUCGUUCUACUGAGCGUUUCUUGCAUUUUAAAAAUGCUUAAACCGCUGGCAACUUUCUUCUACCCAGCACAUUCUCUCAUGGAAUGGCAGAGCAAGACCAACUUUACCCGCCUCUCCUCCGUGUCUCCCAUACGACAUGAGGACGUAAAUCAAGAUCUGGAUUUUCAUCUGGUAUUGGAUUCCUUCUGCCCGGAAGACUCCUUUGACGUUUCUGUAGUGUGGGUCAGCUGGUAGUGAAUUCGGUCAGCUUAUGAACUCAAAAGAGGUGUAGGAGGAGAGAAGCUCAAUUAUCACCCUGGUCUCCUGGAGUAUCCCAGGCACAGUCCCAGGAGUUCAGCUUUUCAUACUCGAGUUCCUGGGUCCUGAAGGCCUUUUUGGGGAAAGUACUGAUGUUCGUGUCAAGGUUGGGAAGAAAGGGUUUGGGAGGAACCAAGCAACAGGGAGGCAAAGAGAAGACAUCAACAAGCGAGGCAAGAACUUUCCACAGGCUCACACUGGAUACAGGACCAGAGACAAGAAGCUGGCGAAGCCUAUAUGGGUUCCCGAUGUCACAUCGCAGCUACCGCAUUGGAGGGUUAAGAGCCGCUGACAAAUCUCUUUCGGGAAGGGAAGAAGAGUUCCAAACAAAAGAUCUACUACCCUGAGAAGCGGUGAAGUGCUCCUGGGGCCCACCAAGGCCACACAAGUCAAGGAGUGGAUGGCCUUGCCCCAGCUAUGGCUCAGAUCACCUUUGCAGGAUGACAUCUUGUUGGGAGAUGGUCAUCAGAGACAGGGCCAUGGAAGACGCUGUCAGGAGGAGGCACAGAGGAAAGGCUAUGGGAGCACAAAGCAAGAAAGUGGCCUUCUGCAAGCCAGGAAGAGAGGCCUCCCCAGAAACCAACUCUACCAGCACAUCGAUCUUGGACUUUUGGCCUCUAGAACAUUGAGAAAAUAAAAGUCUGCUGUUAAACCA
rnacentral:lncRNA from 1 species